CAUGCUCUGCUCACGACUCCCCUCCCUCGUCUCCCCCAAGCCCACAGACCCCUACCACCUCCGACUGCCGCCGCUCUGCCAUGGCCGCCGCCGGCGGCCGGCCGUGGCGCGUGAUCCCGCGCCCCGUCCUCGAGACCGUCCUCCACAACCACGCUCUCCGCCCGCGCGUGCCGCAGCCGCUGCUCCUCCAUGGGCCCCGCGGCGUCGGCAAGUCCACGCUCCUCUUCCUCCGCCUCCUCCCACGGUGGUCCGACCCGCCCCACUCCGCCGCUUUCGUCGACUUCCUCCACCCCACGCCCUGUUCUCCCGCCGCCGCCGCGCCGUGGUCCCUCCUGGCCACCGACCCCCCUCCCUCGUUGCCCGACCUCCGGCUCCGCCUCGAGUCUGCGCUCGAGGGCCUCGCCCGCGGCGCCGUCCUCCGCGGUGCCUUGGGAUCCAAGGACGUGCUCGCCGCGCUCUCCCGUUCCCACGGCCUCCGCACCGCGCUCUCUCGCGUCGCGGGGGCCCCCGCCGCUCGCUCCUCCACCACCUCAGUGCCGGCGCUCUGGGGGAGGGCCGUACUCGCCUCGACCCGCAAGGACGACGCCACGUUCCGCAUUGGUGAGGGGGAGGCGGCCAACUGCUCCAUGGAGGAGAGGGCAUACAUGCAGGAGGCUAUGGGGGCCCUGCGGGUGGCCAAGGAGGUGCUCAGGAUGCAGGAGGGGUGGAGGAAGGAGGCGGUGAGGGAGAUGAAUAGAACUGGGAGGUUCUCGCGCUCACUGGCCAAUUCGGCCACUGACUGGCCGUGCCUGUUGCUUGAUGUGCUGUCCGGUGCGGUCGAGGAGGAUUUCUUCCAGCCGAAGCUGGUGCUUAACAAUGUGGAUGUACUGAGGAAGGCGAAAUGCGAGGAUGAGACAAUGGUGCCUGCUGCGAUGUACCAUGAUAGUUUCAUUUGGAGGGUGAUUGCACUCGGAGCCAAUGAACAUUGCUUGCCUGUCAUUAUGGCAACCUCAGAUGGCUACUAUUCUUCUCAAGCAUUUGUUGAUUUUGGUUUUCCUAACAUAUUCAUUUCUCGUGAGACAUUUGGUUGGACACCACAAGAAGCUAAGCUGCAUAUGGUUUCUGAAUUCUUCAGUGAACAAGAGUGGAAAGUUGUAGACGAGGUUCUUGGGCCAAACCCACGACAGUUAUCUGAGAUAUAUAUGCUGAAGCAAACGGUGAAUAACCCAGAGGUUCUGCAUGACAGAAAUAUUGAGGAAGUUAUUGAUACAUACCUGGCACACUUGCAAGUAUCUGUUGUGAAUCCAGCAAUGGAGACAGCAUUAGGAAUGCUGCAGAAGUUUGCCUCUGAUGUCAGUGAGGGUAAAGUACCAGAGAACAGAUUACCUUUUGGUGCACCUUGGAGACAUCCACCUCGGGACGGCAACCCUGACUUGUCCUAUAAAUGGGCAAAGAUUCAGCUAAUGGAUUUUGUCCAAUCCUUUGUAAACACUGAGUUUGGGGUGAACUACCUGUCAGAUGACAGCCUGGAAAUAUUGGAUGAUCCUGCAGCAGUUGCCAUGAUGGAGGUUGGUUUGCUUUAUCAACAAAGAGAUCCAUCCUUUAUGCGACCAGUCACCCGUGGGAUUCAGCGUUGUCUUGCUAGAUGGCUUGCUCAACAGAGAUUACAAUUGAACCUUCAAGAAUCAAUAUCAUACUUUUGGCAACGUCUAAUACGUGGGCGAAGCUAUCGUCAUUUAAUGAAAGAAGUUGGCUACAAGUAAAGAGGUUAUUUUUAAGAAAAUAUUCAUGUGCCAAGAAGUGAUUCCAAUGGAUCAGGAACCAGUUUUCAAUUUUGAUGUGAGACUGACAGGUGACUUUGAUGGACUGACAUUUUUUAACAUCCAUUAGAAUGUUUCAAGCAUAAAUGAUUUGGUGACCACUCAUAUUCACAUGGAUAAUUCCUCACAUGUCACUGGAUAAAACCUAAAUCCAUGACACGCCACUGUCAGUGAUUGAGGUGGGCCCUACGCGUCAUAGACACAUCGAUGGCAUAUUAGGGAUUUGUGAGUUUUUGCGGUGGCAUAUAAGGAAAUGCCCCGUAUUUAUGCAUCACAAUUACCAUGGCCUAAUAUGAAUUCAAUCAAGAGAAUCCACAACAUGACACUCUGGUUGUGAGGCUGACAUGUUGGUCCCAGGGUAUGUUGUAAAUAUUUGGGCUUGUUCAGUUGCAUAUAAUGGACUGUCGCAAUAACAGCAUAGAAUUGUAGCAGUUCUUUAUCCUUCUAGCAGAUCAAGACACAGCCGUCAAAUAAAUUUGCAGGUAGUUAUAUUAACUUUGGUGCCUUCAUGUCUGGUGGUGGUGCGUAUGUCAAAUGUGAAUAUUUGAAAAGACCACAGUUCAAUUUUCCAAAAAUAUUAUCACAAGCCCACAAAUGUUCAAUUCUUUUUUCAUCUUUUUUUCACUAGAUGCGCAGCAACAAACCAUCCAUAUCUUUUACAGUUUUACAACACAUUGAAGCGUGAGUGAUGUUCCAUUAUGGCUUAAACAGGCAAUGGCAUUGGUGAACAUACUUCAAUGUUUGGCAUGGAAAUCUGCAUAAUAAUAUCCAAGGGUUCAAUCGCUGUUUUUGUUUAUG